rnacentral:tRNA from 1 species
GUGACCGUAGCUCAUCGGGUAGAGCACCGGAUUGUGGCUCCGGAGGUGGUGGGUUCGAGACCCAUCGGUCACC